GGGUUGUGAGGUUAAGCGACUAAGCGUACACGGUGGAUGCCCUGGCAGUCAGAGGCGAUGAAGGACGUGCUAAUCUGCGAUAAGCGUCGGUAAGGUGAUAUGAACCGUUAUAACCGGCGAUUUCCGAAUGGGGAAACCCAGUGUGAUUCGACACACUAUCAUUAACUGAAUCCAUAGGUUAAUGAGGCGAACCGGGGGAACUGAAACAUCUAAGUACCCCGAGGAAAAGAAAUCAACCGAGAUUCCCCCAGUAGCGGCGAGCGAACGGGGAGCAGCCCAGAGCCUGAAUCAGUGUGUGUGUUAGUGGAAGCGUCUGGAAAGGCGCGCGAUACAGGGUGACAGCCCCGUACACAAAAAUGCACAUGCUGUGAGCUCGAUGAGUAGGGCGGGACACGUGGUAUCCUGUCUGAAUAUGGGGGGACCAUCCUCCAAGGCUAAAUACUCCUGACUGACCGAUAGUGAACCAGUACCGUGAGGGAAAGGCGAAAAGAACCCCGGCGAGGGGAGUGAAAAAGAACCUGAAACCGUGUACGUACAAGCAGUGGGAGCACGCUUAGGCGUGUGACUGCGUACCUUUUGUAUAAUGGGUCAGCGACUUAUAUUCUGUAGCAAGGUUAACCGAAUAGGGGAGCCGAAGGGAAACCGAGUCUUAACUGGGCGUUAAGUUGCAGGGUAUAGACCCGAAACCCGGUGAUCUAGCCAUGGGCAGGUUGAAGGUUGGGUAACACUAACUGGAGGACCGAACCGACUAAUGUUGAAAAAUUAGCGGAUGACUUGUGGCUGGGGGUGAAAGGCCAAUCAAACCGGGAGAUAGCUGGUUCUCCCCGAAAGCUAUUUAGGUAGCGCCUCGUGAAUUCAUCUCCGGGGGUAGAGCACUGUUUCGGCAAGGGGGUCAUCCCGACUUACCAACCCGAUGCAAACUGCGAAUACCGGAGAAUGUUAUCACGGGAGACACACGGCGGGUGCUAACGUCCGUCGUGAAGAGGGAAACAACCCAGACCGCCAGCUAAGGUCCCAAAGUCAUGGUUAAGUGGGAAACGAUGUGGGAAGGCCCAGACAGCCAGGAUGUUGGCUUAGAAGCAGCCAUCAUUUAAAGAAAGCGUAAUAGCUCACUGGUCGAGUCGGCCUGCGCGGAAGAUGUAACGGGGCUAAACCAUGCACCGAAGCUGCGGCAGCGACGCUUAUGCGUUGUUGGGUAGGGGAGCGUUCUGUAAGCCUGCGAAGGUGUGCUGUGAGGCAUGCUGGAGGUAUCAGAAGUGCGAAUGCUGACAUAAGUAACGAUAAAGCGGGUGAAAAGCCCGCUCGCCGGAAGACCAAGGGUUCCUGUCCAACGUUAAUCGGGGCAGGGUGAGUCGACCCCUAAGGCGAGGCCGAAAGGCGUAGUCGAUGGGAAACAGGUUAAUAUUCCUGUACUUGGUGUUACUGCGAAGGGGGGACGGAGAAGGCUAUGUUGGCCGGGCGACGGUUGUCCCGGUUUAAGCGUGUAGGCUGGUUUUCCAGGCAAAUCCGGAAAAUCAAGGCUGAGGCGUGAUGACGAGGCACUACGGUGCUGAAGCAACAAAUGCCCUGCUUCCAGGAAAAGCCUCUAAGCAUCAGGUAACAUCAAAUCGUACCCCAAACCGACACAGGUGGUCAGGUAGAGAAUACCAAGGCGCUUGAGAGAACUCGGGUGAAGGAACUAGGCAAAAUGGUGCCGUAACUUCGGGAGAAGGCACGCUGAUAUGUAGGUGAAGCGACUUGCUCGUGGAGCUGAAAUCAGUCGAAGAUACCAGCUGGCUGCAACUGUUUAUUAAAAACACAGCACUGUGCAAACACGAAAGUGGACGUAUACGGUGUGACGCCUGCCCGGUGCCGGAAGGUUAAUUGAUGGGGUCAGCGCAAGCGAAGCUCUUGAUCGAAGCCCCGGUAAACGGCGGCCGUAACUAUAACGGUCCUAAGGUAGCGAAAUUCCUUGUCGGGUAAGUUCCGACCUGCACGAAUGGCGUAAUGAUGGCCAGGCUGUCUCCACCCGAGACUCAGUGAAAUUGAACUCGCUGUGAAGAUGCAGUGUACCCGCGGCAAGACGGAAAGACCCCGUGAACCUUUACUAUAGCUUGACACUGAACAUUGAGCCUUGAUGUGUAGGAUAGGUGGGAGGCUUUGAAGUGUGGACGCCAGUCUGCAUGGAGCCGACCUUGAAAUACCACCCUUUAAUGUUUGAUGUUCUAACGUUGACCCGUGAUCCGGGUUGCGGACAGUGUCUGGUGGGUAGUUUGACUGGGGCGGUCUCCUCCUAAAGAGUAACGGAGGAGCACGAAGGUUGGCUAAUCCUGGUCGGACAUCAGGAGGUUAGUGCAAUGGCAUAAGCCAGCUUGACUGCGAGCGUGACGGCGCGAGCAGGUGCGAAAGCAGGUCAUAGUGAUCCGGUGGUUCUGAAUGGAAGGGCCAUCGCUCAACGGAUAAAAGGUACUCCGGGGAUAACAGGCUGAUACCGCCCAAGAGUUCAUAUCGACGGCGGUGUUUGGCACCUCGAUGUCGGCUCAUCACAUCCUGGGGCUGAAGUAGGUCCCAAGGGUAUGGCUGUUCGCCAUUUAAAGUGGUACGCGAGCUGGGUUUAGAACGUCGUGAGACAGUUCGGUCCCUAUCUGCCGUGGGCGCUGGAGAACUGAGGGGGGCUGCUCCUAGUACGAGAGGACCGGAGUGGACGCAUCACUGGUGUUCGGGUUGUCAUGCCAAUGGCACUGCCCGGUAGCUAAAUGCGGAAGAGAUAAGUGCUGAAAGCAUCUAAGCACGAAACUUGCCCCGAGAUGAGUUCUCCCUGACUCCUUGAGAGUCCUGAAGGAACGUUGAAGACGACGACGUUGAUAGGCCGGGUGUGUAAGCGCAGCGAUGCGUUGAGCUAACCGGUACUAAUGAACCGUGAGGCUUAACCUUACAACGCCGAAGCUGUU
rnacentral:rRNA from 1 species